rnacentral:rRNA from 1 species
GACGAACGCUGGCGGCGUGCCUAAUACAUGCAAGUCGAACGAACUCUGGUAUUGAUUGGUGCUUGCAUCAUGAUUUACAUUUGAGUGAGUGGCGAACUGGUGAGUAACACGUGGGAAACCUGCCCAGAAGCGGGGGAUAACACCUGGAAACAGAUGCUAAUACCGCAUAACAACUUGGACCGCAUGGUCCGAGCUUGAAAGAUGGCUUCGGCUAUCACUUUUGGAUGGUCCCGCGGCGUAUUAGCUAGAUGGUGGGGUAAUGGCUCACCAUGGCAAUGAUACGUAGCCGACCUGAGAGGGUAAUCGGCCACAUUGGGACUGAGACACGGCCCAAACUCCUACGGGAGGCAGCAGUAGGGAAUCUUCCACAAUGGACGAAAGUCUGAUGGAGCAACGCCGCGUGAGUGAAGAAGGGUUUCGGCUCGUAAAACUCUGUUGUUAAAGAAGAACAUAUCUGAGAGUAACUGUUCAGGUAUUGACGGUAUUUAACCAGAAAGCCACGGCUAACUACGUGCCAGCAGCCGCGGUAAUACGUAGGUGGCAAGCGUUGUCCGGAUUUAUUGGGCGUAAAGCGAGCGCAGGCGGUUUUUUAAGUCUGAUGUGAAAGCCUUCGGCUCAACCGAAGAAGUGCAUCGGAAACUGGGAAACUUGAGUGCAGAAGAGGACAGUGGAACUCCAUGUGUAGCGGUGAAAUGCGUAGAUAUAUGGAAGAACACCAGUGGCGAAGGCGGCUGUCUGGUCUGUAACUGACGCUGAGGCUCGAAAGUAUGGGUAGCAAACAGGAUUAGGUACCCUGGUAGUCCAUACCGUAAACGAUGAAUGCUAAGUGUUGGAGGGUUUCCGCCCUUCAGUGCUGCAGCUAACGCAUUAAGCAUUCCGCCUGGGGAGUACGGCCGCAAGGCUGAAACUCAAAGGAAUUGACGGGGGCCCGCACAAGCGGUGGAGCAUGUGGUUUAAUUCGAAGCUACGCGAAGAACCUUACCAGGUCUUGACAUACUAUGCAAAUCUAAGAGAUUAGACGUUCCCUUCGGGGACAUGGAUACAGGUGGUGCAUGGUUGUCGUCAGCUCGUGUCGUGAGAUGUUGGGUUAAGUCCCGCAACGAGCGCAACCCUUAUUAUCAGUUGCCAGCAUUAAGUUGGGCACUCUGGUGAGACUGCCGGUGACAAACCGGAGGAAGGUGGGGAUGACGUCAAAUCAUCAUGCCCCUUAUGACCUGGGCUACACACGUGCUACAAUGGAUGGUACAACGAGUUGCGAACUCGCGAGAGUAAGCUAAUCUCUUAAAGCCAUUCUCAGUUCGGAUUGUAGGCUGCAACUCGCCUACAUGAAGUCGGAAUCGCUAGUAAUCGCGGAUCAGCAUGCCGCGGUGAAUACGUUCCCGGGCCU